rnacentral:lncRNA from 1 species
GGGAGAUUAGGCAUGGGGACUCUGACUUGGGCACGGAUUUCCUUGGACCAAUAGGCAAUGUGUUGUGGUCACUGAGCCUCAGAGCCAGACAGGUCUUAAGUGAUCUGUCCGAGCUUUUCAUUUUAUGGAGAGAGGAAGUGCCUUCUUCUCUAAGGUCAUUCAGCUAAUCAGCUCAUCGGGGAAGCAAGAUUCAAGGUGGGAAGCAGAUGAGCAGAUGAGGGGUGCAGCCUGGCCUGGGAAAGAGGGCUGGAAUUCCAAGGAGGUACCUGAGACCCUAGCUCAGAGCCCCCUUCUUGGGCUUGUGGGUGAUGCAGCUGCUCUGAGCCACAAGAUCCUUGAUCUACAUUGCCGUUGCCUGGGCCCUUGGGCUUUCCUGGGCUUUCUAAGCAUAAAGGUGCCACCCUUCCCUGAUUUCCAAAGGCUCAGGCCACAGAUGCAGGAAACUGAAAUGAAAAAAUAUGCUUGGGACUUAGAUUGGGGGAUCUGAUGUCCUUAAAAACCCCCAUCAGGACGAGGUGUGGUGAUGCACACUUGCAAUCCCAGCACUCAGGAGGCUGAGGCAGGAAGAUCGCCAUGAGUUCAAGGCCAGCCUGAACUACAUAGUGAGACUUUGUUUCAAGAAACCAAAACAGAAAAAGGAGGAGGGAAAAGACCCCCAUCAGUCCUUAGCCCCUCUAUCCCCUUCCCUUGGCUCCAUCAUGAUUCUUUCUUUUGGUUGCUGCUGUCUGAAGACUGAACAGCUUUGUUCAUCCUUUCUUUUAACAAAUAUUUAUUGAAUGC